rnacentral:rRNA from 1 species
GAAAGUAAAGAAGGGCGCAUGGCGGAUGCCUUGGCUCUCGGAGGCGAUGAAGGACGUGAUAAGCUGCGAUAAGCUCCGGGGAGGUGCAAAUAACCUUUGAUCCGGGGAUUUCCGAAUGGGACAACCCGGCGUGUUGAAGACACGCCACCUGAUCAUUUCAGGAGCUAACGCAGGGAACUGAAACAUCUUAGUACCUGCAGGAAAAGAAAAUAACAAUGAUUCCCCCAGUAGUGGCGAGCGAACGGGGAAUAGCCCAAACCGUUCAUGUUACGGCAUGAUCGGGGUUGUAGGACUACGUCGUUGCAUGAAGACAUCGGAGAAGAACUUUCUGGAAAGAAAGACCAUAGAGCAUGACAGUUGCGUAUUCGUAUGUUGUCGAAGCAUAGUAGUAUCCUGAGUAGCGCGGAGCACGAGGAAUUCUGCGUGAAUCUGCCGGGACCAUCCGGUAAGGCUAAAUACUCCCGAGAGACCGAUAGCGAACCAGUACCGUGAGGGAAAGGUGAAAAGCACUUCGAACAGAAGAGUGAAAUAGUUCCUGAAACCGUGCGCCUACAAGCGGUCGGAGCUGCUUAAAGCAGUGACGGCGUGCCUUUUGCAUAAUGAACCUACGAGUUGCCUUUGCCGGCAAGGUUAAGUGUGACGACACACGUAUCCGAAGCGAAAGCGAGUCUGAAGAGGGCGUAUAGUCGGCAGUGGCAGACGCGAAACCAAGUGAUCUACCCUUGGCCAGGUUGAAGGCUGGGUAACACCAGCUGGAGGACCGCACCAAUAAGCGUUGAAAAGCUUCUGGAUGAGCUGAGGGUAGGGGUGAAAGGCUAAUCAAACUUGGAGAUAGCUCGUACUCCCCGAAAUGCAUUUAGGUGCAGCCUUGUGGGUUACUGAUGUGAGGUAGAGCGACUGAUAAGAUGCGAGGGCUUCACCGCCUAUCAAGUCUUGACAAACUCCGAAUGCGCAUCAGUUUUACCUCAGGAGUGAGGGCAUGGGUGCUAAGGUCCGUGCCCGAGAGGAGAAGAAUCCGGACCACCUGCUAAGGUCCCGAAAUGACAGCUAAGUUAAACUAACGAAGUCUGACUGCUAAGACAGCUAGGAUGUUGGCUUGGAAGCAGCCAUUCAUUUAAAGAGUGCGUAACAGCUCACUAGUCGAGGAGUCUGGCGUGGAUAAUAAUCGGGUAUUAAGUUGUCUACCGAAGCAGUGGGAUCAUUGAAAUGAUCGGUAGGGGAGCAUUCCAGUCAGCGUCGAAGGCGUACCGCGAGGUAUUCUGGAGCGUCUGGAAAAGCAAAUGUAGGUAUAAGUAACGAUAAAGGGGGCGGGAAACCCCCUCGCCGAAAGACUAAGGUUUCCUGAUCAACGCUAAUCGGAUCAGGGUAAGUCGGGUCCUAAGGCUCAGCCGAAGGGCGAUGCCGAUGGCAGAAACGGUUAAUAUUCCGUUACUACCUCCAGGAGUGAUGUGGAGACGCAGUAGUGACAAUGCCGCCAUCUGACGGAAUAGAUGGUUGAAGGGUGUAGAUGUUGAUCUUGGCAGGCAAAUCCACCAUGAGAAUCGAACCUGAUAGUAUGCCGCGUCCCUCGGGACAAGGCAAUAGUGCAUGUAAUCAUGCUGCCAAGAAAAUCCGCUAAACUAAAUCCUGUAGGUACCCGUACCGUAAACGGACACACGUAGUCGGGAUGAAUAUUCUAAGGCGCUUGAGUGAUUCACGGUUAAGGAACUAGGCAAACUGACCCUGUAACUUCGGGAUAAAGGGUCCCUACCCGGUGACGGGAGGGCGCAGAGAAUAGGUCCAGGCAACUGUUUAACAAAAACACAGGGCUGUGCUAAAUCGAAAGAUCCUGUAUACAGCCUGACACCUGCCCGGUGCUGGAAGGUUAAGAGGAGACGUCAUCGUUGAGAGAAGCGUUGAAUUGAAGCCCCAGUAAACGGCGGCCGUAACUAUAACGGUCCUAAGGUAGCGAAAUUCCUUGUCGGGUAAGUUCCGACCUGCACGAAUGGUGUAAUGAUCUGGACGCUGUCUCAACCGUGAGCUCAGUGAAAUUGUAGUAUCGGUGAAGAUGCCGAUUACCCGCGAUGGGACGAAAAGACCCCGUGAACCUUUACUAUAGCUUAUCAUUGAAUCUGGGCACGUGAUGUGUAGGAU